CGGCCUGCAGUCCGGAACCUCCUGAGACGGCCUGCAGUCCGGAACCUCCUGAGACGGCCUGCAGUCCGGAACCUCCUGAGACGGCCUACAGUCCGGAGUCUCCAGCGGCGGUCUGCAGUCCGGAGUCUCCAGCGGGGGUUUCCAGUUCAGAGCCUCCGGCGAUGAUUCACGGUCCGGUUCCUCUGGCGACGAUCCAUGGUCUGGUUAAACAAAAGCGGAGGGAUCAGCGGGCGGAGCGGGGGCUACGUCACGAACCGGAGCCGCCACCAAGGAUAGAUGCCCACCCGGACCCUCCCCUAUAGGUUCAGGUUUGCGGCCGGGAGUCCGCACCUCCCGGGGGUGUACUGUCACGCCCUGACCUUAGAGAGACGUUUUAUUUCCUCUAGUUUGGUUAGGUCAGGGUGUGAUGUGGGGUGGGCAAUCUAGUUUUUGUAUUUCUUUGUGUUUAGCUGAGUAUGGUUCCUAAUCAGAGGCUAUCGUUGUCUCCGAUUGGGAAUCAUACUUAAGUAAGUGGAAACUUUUUCUCUUUUAAUUCAGCUUUCUUCCCAUUUCUUGUGUUUUCAAAAACAAACCAGGUUGUAGUUUUAAAAUGCAAACCAACUGGAGGAGAUUAUUCAAAAAUGGUAUCUUAAAAUAAGUAACCAAAUCCCACUGGCCCAGGUAUUAUUUCAUCUGUAACCAAAUCCCACUGGCCCAGGUAUUGUUUCAUCUGUAACCAAAUCCCACUGGCCCAGGUAUUGUUUCAUCUGUAACCAAAUCCCACUGGCCCAGGUAGUUUAAUCUGUAACCAAAUCCCACUGGCCCAGGUAGUGUUUCAUCUGUAACCAAAUCCACUGGCCCAGGUAGUGUUUCAUCUGUAACCAAAUCCCACUGGCCCAGGUAGUGUUUCAUCUGUAACCAAAUCCCACUGGCCCAGGUACUGUUUCAUCUGUAACCAAAUCCCACUGGCCCAGGUACUGUUUCAUCUGUAACCAAAUCCACUGGCCCAGGUACUGUUUCAUCUGUAACCAAAUCCCACUGGCCCAGGUAGUGUUUCAUCUGUAACCAAAUCCCACUGGCCCAGGUACUGUUUCAUCUGUAACCAAAUCCCACUGGCCCAGGUAGUGUUUCAUCUGUUACCAAAUCCCACUGGCCCAGGUAGUGUUUCAUCUGUAACCAAAUCCCACUGGCCCAGGUAUUGUUUCAUCUGUCAACUAAUGACACUCAUUGCACUGUGCACCUGAGGCUAUGGCAGGUAGCCUACAUCUAGGUUACAAUAGUAGUCAACAGUUAGUAUGACACAUUACAUUACAGUGUGGCAGGUUAAAGCCUCAGGCUUAGUUUUAUUACUAGACGAGGUCCAUUAUCAGAUCUGACCCAUAUGAUUCAGUCAUUGAAACCCAUGUCACCUUCAAACACACACACAGCACUUCUUUAGUGGGUUUGAGGAGGGUCAGGGCUUGAUGUUUAAUGCGAGCUCAACGUCAGCUCCUUAGUUGGCCAAACUCUCUUUAUUAAUUGCUAUUGUUAGUAUAGUUUUUAUCUCACAAUCUCUAGUUCUCCUUGUCAAUUCAAGCCCCAUGUCAGAGUGGACCUCCCUGGUGCAUUCCAUCAGUCAAAGUUAUGUGUAUAGGGCUAUUCUUUCUGACACUUUCGUAUCCACCGUUCAUGCAGAAUGGCUCCAGCCGUAAGCUGUGUCCUAGUUGUAACAUCAAUAGGAGUAGCAUCAAAGAAGUGCAAGUUCUGUGGUGCAACAACACAGCUAAAGGUCAAGUUAGAGGCCCAAAAAAUGAAGGCUACAGAUGAAUGGGCAAAUAAGACAAUGAAACAUGGAAGAUAUGCAACCUUGGUUAAUGCAGCAAACAAGCUGGUAAGCUUUAUUAUGUUUUCCUCUAAAAAGAUUUCUGCAUUUCUAGCUUAGGGAUAUGAUAGGCCCUAUGCACUUAUUUGUUGUUGUCUCAUUGUGUCAUUUAAGACUGUAAAUCUAAAUGUCAUUAUUUGACUGAUAUUUGUUGUGUUUCUGGAAGUUAUUUUGUCAUUAAUGAUUCCAGGUACAUAGGUUCCACAAGGUAGGAGUGUACCCCCGCUACUCCUCAGCAAGAGGAAGAAGGAUAACAUUUUGUCGUCAACUGCACUGUGUCCUCCCAGUGGUAUGAUGAAUCAGACCUCAAUGGCACCAAUCCAAAGGUUGUAUGAGGCAAUUGUGAAAGUGGCAAUCAACACCCAUACCCCCACACUACAACCAUCCAACCCUCCUGCUGUUGCUGCCCAAGAACUGUCUGAUACAGUUGACCCCCAGGAGACCAGCUACACCUCCAUCCUCAACCAGGUUGAACCCCCGAUAUCCCCCACCACCCAGGAGACCAGCUCCACCCCAUCCUCAACCAGGUUGAACCCCCGAUAUCCCCCACCACCCAGGAGACCAGCUCCACCCCAUCCUCAACCAGGUUGAACCCCCGAUAUCCCCUACCACCCAGGAGACCAGCUCCACCCCAUCCUCAACCAGGUUGAACCCCCGAUAUCCCCCACCACCCAGGAGACCAGCUACACCCCCAUCCUCAACCAGGUUGAACCCCCGAUAUCCCCCACCACCCAGGAGACCAGCUUCACCCGGAUCCCCAACCAGGUUAAACCCCCAAUAACCCCCACCACCCAGGAGACCAGCUACACCCACACCAAACCAAAGAAGACGGAGAGAAAGUCCCGUCACCCUCAAAAACCCCUCCAACUCGCUGAGCAUGACACAGCCAACCCCAUCCAACCCCAUCCUACCCCAUCCAACUCCAUUCUACCCCAUCCAACCCCGACCAAGGAAGAGGAAAUAUGACUACAUGCAAAAAGAGUGUCCAGUGCAUCCGGGGCAAACGUUUUUCCCUAUUCUCAAGAUUCUUGCCAAUAGAACUUCAAAGGAGUGCCUUGCAAAAGUAGUCAAACCCCUUGGAAACGCCUUUGACAGUGAUUACAGCUGGGAGUCUUCUUGGGUAAGUCUUUUAGAGUCAUUACAGCUGUGAGUCUUUUAGAGCUUAACACACCAGGAUUGUGCAAAAUUAGCCCAUUAUUCUUUUUAUAAUUCUUCAAGCUCUGUCAAUAUGUUGGGGAUCAUGUCUAGACAACAAUUUAAAAGUCUUGCAAUAGAUUUCCAAUCAGAUUUAAGUCCAAACUUGAACUUGGCAACUCAGGAACAUUCACUGUCUUCUUGGUAAACAACUCCAGUGUAGAUUUGUCAUUGUGUUUUAGGUUAUUGUACUGCUGAAAGCUGGAUUCCUCUCCGAGUGUCUGUGGCAAGAAAUGGGAUGAUGACUGGAUCAAGGCCGAGGACCGCGCUUCUCCAGUUUAACCUACUUUAUGCACAAAUGUAUUCUUCACUCUCGCUUCACAUGUAUCACUGUCAACCAUAAGUGGUUGGCCAAAUUCACCAUGAUUUACCAUUGAAACAUUCAUGGAGCAUCAGCAUGCCAACCAUUUGAUCUCAAUCAGUUUCAUGAGAAUAUGCAUUUAGAUAUUAUUCAUAUAAAGUGAGCUAUAAACGUAUUGCAACAGUGACACAUGUUUUGUUGUUUUGGAUCUGUACUCCAGAACUUUUUAUUUGAAAUUAUACAAUGACUAUGAGGUUAAAGUGCAGACUAUCAGCUUUAAUUUGAGUGUAUUUUCAUCCAUAUCUGGUGAACCGUUUAGAAAUUACAGCACAUUUUGUACUAGCCCCCCCCCCCCAUUUUGGGGGACCAAAAGUAUUGUGAUAAAUUCACUUAUGUGUAUUAAAGUAGUCAGAAGUUGAGUAUUUUUGUCUUUUAUGUUUGUAAUGAUUCAUUUUACUAUGUUAUUAAAUAUAUACGUUUAAUUUCACUCUCAUUUUUUACCUUUAGUCUGCCUAUUUCUAUAACCCAAUGCACAUAGCUGAUUAUCUU
rnacentral:lncRNA from 1 species